GACGAACGCUGGCGGCGUGCCUAAUACAUGCAAGUUGAGCGCUGAAGGUUGGUACUUGUACCAACUGGAUGAGCAGCGAACGGGUGAGUAACGCGUGGGGAAUCUGCCUUUGAGCGGGGGACAACAUUUGGAAACGAAUGAUAAUACCGCAUAAAAACUUUAAACACAAGUUUUAAGUUUGAAAGAUGCAAUUGCAUCACUCAAAGAUGAUCCCGCGUUGUAUUAGCUAGUUGGUGAGGUAAAGGCUCACCAAGGCGAUGAUACAUAGCCGACCUGAGAGGGUGAUCGGCCACAUUGGGACUGAGACACGGCCCAAACUCCUACGGGAGGCAGCAGUAGGGAAUCUUCGGCAAUGGACGAAAGUCUGACCGAGCAACGCCGCGUGAGUGAAGAAGGUUUUCGGAUCGUAAAACUCUGUUGGUAGAGAAGAACGUUGGUGAGAGUGGAAAGCUCAUCAAGUGACGGUAACUACCCAGAAAGGGACGGCUAACUACGUG
rnacentral:rRNA from 1 species